rnacentral:rRNA from 1 species
AACGAACGCUGGCGGCAGGCUUAACACAUGCAAGUCGAACGCAUCCUUCGGGGUGAGUGGCAGACGGGUGAGUAACGCGUGGGAACGUGCCCUUCAGUUCGGGAUAACCCAGGGAAACUUGGGCUAAUACCGGAUACGUGCGAGAGCAGAAAGAUUUAUCGCUGAAGGAUCGGCCCGCGUCUGAUUAGCUAGUUGGUGGGGUAAUGGCCCACCAAGGCGACGAUCAGUAGCUGGUCUGAGAGGAUGAUCAGCCACAUUGGGACUGAGACACGGCCCAAACUACUACGGGAGGCAGCAGGGGGGAAUAUUGGAAAAUGGGCGCAAGCCUGAUCCAGCCAUGCCGCGAGAGUGAUGAAGGCCUUAGGGUUGUAAAGCUCUUUCGUCCGGGACGAUAAUGACGGAACCGGAAGAAGAAGCCCCGGCUAACUUCGUGCCAGCCGCCGCCGUAA